rnacentral:lncRNA from 1 species
GGCUGAGGCAUUAAGGUGCCUCUGGAGAUGGUCUGGCCAAGCCCCGCUGCUCAAAGUAGGGCCAGUAAGAGUAGGCCACUCAAGACCACGUCAUCAGGAUUUGAGUAUCUCCAGGGAUGGAGACCCCACAGCCUCUCUGGCCAACCCAUGCCAACACUCGACCACCCUUCAGAGUACAGAUAAUUUUGACUUAUCUCAUUUUUAAGAGGCUCUGCUGCUAGCGAAAGGCCAGCUGACCACUGCAAGACCAGCGAAGGGCUUGCUGGGCGAAGCACCGCAUUAUUGAAAGGCUUUUACUCCACCUCCGAGACCUCCUCGGCCUCCUCCUCCCCACCACGGUGCACAGCUGCUAUUAACACCCACCACCACCCGCCACAAAUUAAAGCCAGGAACGCGCUUUGCCCCAGACCCUCCCCGAACCCCUAUCCGCUCCCUUCAGCACCUCAAACCGACGGAGGGUCCAUCCCCUCCUUCGCCCACCGCCGCCGCGAUGGGGCGAGGGGAACGAUCGCCUCAGGGAGGUGGCGGCGGUACCUCAGGCGCGCUCGCGCGGGAAGGGGGGGGGGGCGNNNNNNNNNNNNNNNNNNNNNNNNNNNNNCCGCGCGCGCGCGCGCGCGGGGGGGGGGGGCGGCGGCGCGCACCUGCGCUGCGCCCUCGGCCUCGCGCCGCGCCGUGAGGGGCGGCCGGUCGGUCCCGUCUGCCGCCUUGAAGGGACCACGGCGACCCCUCUGCUUCUUCCUCAUCCUCUUCCUCUUCCUUCCUUCCUUCCUCCGACCCGCCGGGGGAAAGCCCAGGCGUAUAGAUUGAUGGAAUGAGCUACAUCUCUAACCAUAAAACUGACUGUUGUAUACCAUAGCCACUGAAAAUGUGACUUCUGAAAGAAGUUGACCAGUGACUGACAAAAACCCAGGUAAGUAAUGGAGAGCCAGGCUGCUUCCUUUAUACUAUGCAGGACUACAGUCCUGCAACUCAGGUGUAUCCUGCAGGAGAUCUUAGUGAUGUUUACUUCUACCAGACACAGCUGUCCUCUCCACCUCUCACCAUCAGACAUUCAGGCACCAGCUGCUUUAUCUAGAGACAAGAAAUUCAUAUCAUGGUGCAGGGAUAGAGUCCCAGUUUGUCUCUCUGCAGUUGAACUGCAGCCAAAAGGACUACAGCACAAUGGUGAUCAGGAUGUAUUUGAUAAGUGGGUUUUGC